UAUGUAUAUAUAAACACAAUACACAAAUGUAUUUAUAUAUACACACACAAAUAUAUAUGUAUCCCUGAUUAAGUAUCUGAACAUUAUUACUUAGAUCUCUGAGAGAAAUAAGAUUGACUCAGGAUUGAGUUGGGAGAGAUUAUUUAUCAUUUCCAUUUCUACCUCACUCCUGGUUCCUCUUCUCUUUCUGCACUAGACUCCCCCGCCUUUUUGACCGCACCAGGUACUCUGAAUUGAGGCGCACUUCUGACAAAGCCAGGGCAAAGCACAACUGCCUUUCCUAGAAUUAAGCCCUUCCUGUGAAUUCAUAUGUCAAUCUAGUUAAAUUGUUAAAUUCCAACCACUUUACUCAAAAGCUAUUUAUUCAAAUAUAUUUAUAAAGCAAACAACAAAACCACCCACUGUCAGAUGCUCACACAUAUGCAUACUUGGACACCUCACCAGCCCGUGCUGACCUGACAGUAGGCAAGGCUGCUAUAUUUCACGUUACUUGAAAUGCAAUAAUUAACGCCUGUUAAAGGAGGGGAAAAAAAGACAUCACUACCUUGCAACCAAUUACUGAAAUCAGUAUGUCUAAUUUUUCAAGACUCAGUGCUGAAAGGAAGAUCCCUGCUAUAAGUUAAUAUCAUGUGGCUGUCGCUACUUACACUUGCCAGCACCAUGGUAUCAACAAAUGGCUUUUUGUCUUUCUAACAAGGAGACAGUCUUCAUUGGAAUUCCUAGACAGAGGUGAGCGAGAAUAGUCUAGUGGAGAUUUUAAUCACUUAUGUCCUAGUUUUUGAGAUUUGCAUGUCUUUUUCUAGUUUAAUUUACCUGUUUGGUUUUGGUUUUGAAUUCAGGAUGAAAUGCACUCACAUGUCAGGAUUAAGUCCCCUUUUUUCUCUUCCUGCAUAGAUCUUCGCUUCUGUCUACCCUGGUCGACUAUGCAAACUUUAAUCCUUUCCCAUGUCUACUGUGAUCAGGUGCUCCGUGAGAUGGACGCAGACGGAGAUGCAGGCUGAGGAGCGCCGGGGAGUUAAUUCCCCUCAGAGCCUGCUGAUGAGAUCAUCCCUGCCCACACCUUGAUCUUGAACUUCUGGCCCCAGAAGUAUGAGAGAAAACAAUUCUGUUAUUUUAGGCCACCAAGUUUGUGGUACUUUAUUAUAGCAGUCCUAGGAAACGAAUAUACUAAAUACUCUCAGGUGAGAUAUUAUCAUGUUUUUUUCUUAUUCGUUAUGAAAAAAAAGUUGAAAUGUGAACAUGUCAGUUUCUUUUUGGAGUGAGAUGGGUUGUUUCUAAUAAAUAAAAUUAAAUGGGCUAUAAGUCACCGUCCUAAAAACGUGUUUAAUUUGGUGUACCUAUUUUAUUAAGUAUAUUUAAAGAGUAAUUUGUGCAUUUCAACAAGCUACAUUUCCAUUUCCUAAGUCUAGGUGUCUCUCAGCAAUUUUGAAAUUAUCAGUAAAUCAAAUAAAGCAUAAGUCUAUAAAUUUGGAGUAAUAAUUCAGAGAGCAACAAGGUUUAAAAUGAAAUAUCUAAGACUAUGAAUCUAGCAUUUUAUGUCGAAGACAGUUAAGCAGUUCAGUUCAGGAGACUUCUACACUGUGUAACUGUUAAGAUGGGGGAACUCAGAGGACUCUAGAUCAUUCUGUCCGAAUCAAAAAUUGGCCUCCAUUAUUUUUAGCUGUGAGAACUUGGACAAGUCAAUCAACCUCUCUCUGCUUCAAUUCCCAUUUUGGUAAAUAUGGAAAUAACGCCUAUUUCAUUGGGCUAUUGUAAGGAUUAAAUGUGUGAAUACACGUAAAGCACUUCAUAACAGCACCCAGCAUGCAUUAGGCACUGGAUAAAUAUGAAGUAUUAUUAG
ensembl:lncRNA